rnacentral:rRNA from 1 species
AGGAUAAACGCUGGCGGCGUGCCUAACACAUGCAAGUCGAACGCUCUCUGGCAACAGAGGGAGUGGCGGACGGGUGAGUAACACGUGGGUACCUACCCCAAGGUGAGGAAUACCGGCGAGAAAUCGCCGACAAUACCGCAUAGCUUUCGCAAGAAAGAAAGCUUCGUAAGAGGCGCCAUGGGAAGGGCCUGCGGCCGAUUAGCUAGUUGGUAAGGUAAAAGCUUACCAAGGCGACGAUCGGUAGCUGGUCUGAGAGGACGAUCAGCCACACUGGGAUUGAGAACGGCCCAGACUCCUACGGGGGGCAGCAGUGAGGAAUUUUCGUCAAUGGGGGCAACCCGUGAACGAGCAACGCCGCGUGCAGGAAGAAGGUUUUCGGAUCGUAAACUGCUUUUCUCUGGGACGAGAACGGACGGUACCAGGAGGAAUAAGCCCCGGACUAACUACGUGCCAGCAGCCGC